rnacentral:rRNA from 1 species
CGCAGGCUGAGGCAGCCAUGCCGCGUGUGUGAAGAAGGCCUUCGGGUUGUAAAGCACUUUCAGUCGUGAGGAAGGUGGUGUAGUUAAUAGCUGCAUUAUUUGACGUUAGCGACAGAAGAAGCACCGGCUAACUCCGUGCCAGCAGCCGCGGUAAUACGGAGGGUGCGAGCGUUAAUCGGAAUUACUGGGCGUAAAGCGCAUGCAGGUGGUUUGUUAAGUCAGAUGUGAAAGCCCGGGGCUCAACCUCGGAAUUGCAUUUGAAACUGGCAGACUAGAGUACUGUAGAGGGGGGURGAAUUUCAGGUGUAGCGGUGAAAUGCGUAGAGAUCUGAAGGAAUACCGGUGGCGAAGGCGGCCCCCUGGACAGAUACUGACACUCAGAUGCGAAAGCGUGGGGAGCAAACAGGAUUAGAUACCCUGGUAGUCCACGCCGUAAACGAUGUCUACUUGGAGGUUGUGGCCUUGAGCCGUGGCUUUCGGAGCUAACGCGUUAAGUAGACCGCCUGGGGAGUACGGUCGCAAGAUUAAAACUCAAA